rnacentral:rRNA from 1 species
AACGUAGGUGGCAAGCGUUAUCCGGAUUUACUGGGCGUAAAGCGUGUGCAGGCGGUGGUCCAAGUGGUGUAUGAAAUCGCCCGGCUUAACCGGGUGAGGUUAUGCCAGACUGGGCCACUGGAGGACGGGAGAGGGGCGUGGAAUUCCGGGUGUAGUGGUGAAAUGCGUAGAGAUCCGGAGGAACCCCAGCGGCGAAGGCGGCGCCCUGGCCCGCACCUGACGCUCAGACACGACAGCAUGGGGAG